rnacentral:rRNA from 1 species
GCUUGUGGCCACACCGCCUGGUUCACGCCCGAUCUCGUUUGAUCUCGGAACCUAAGAUAGGGUGGGCCAGGUUAGUACUUGAUGGGAGACCGCCUGGGAAUACCAGGUGCUGUAACGC